rnacentral:rRNA from 1 species
GAUGAACGCUGGCGGCGUGCCUAAUACAUGCAAGUCGAGCGAACAGACUAGGAGCUUGCUCCUCUGACGUUAGCGGCGGACGGGUGAGUAACACGUGGAUAACCUACCUAUAAGACUGGGAUAACUUCGGGAAACCGGAGCUAAUACCGGAUAAUAUAUUGAACCGCAUGGUUCAAUAGUGAAAGACGGUUUUGCUGUCACUUAUAGAUGGAUCCGCGCCGCAUUAGCUAGUUGGUAAGGUAACGGCUUACCAAGGCAACGAUGCGUAGCCGACCUGAGAGGGUGAGAGGCAACACGGGAACAGUGACACGUCCCAGACGCCCAGGGGGGGCCGGGGGGGGGAAUUUCGGAGAAUGGGCGAAUGCGUGCGGGCGCGAGCCCGGGGGGGGGAGAGAGGUCUGGGGGCCUUAAAACUUUGUUAUUGUGAAAAACAAAGUGUAGAAGAAACUAUGCUCGUGGUGAGGGUACCUAGUAAAAAAGCCCCGGCUAACUACGUG